CAGUCGCCGCGGGAAUACAGAGGGUGCGAGCGUUAAUCGGAUUUACUGGGCGUAAAGCGUGCGUAGGCGGCUUUUUAAGUCGGAUGUGAAAUCCCUGAGCUUAACUUAGGAAUUGCAUUCGAUACUGGGAAGCUAGAGUAUGGGAGAGGAUGGUAGAAUUCCAGGUGUAGCGGUGAAAUGCGUAGAGAUCUGGAGGAAUACCGAUGGCGAAGGCAGCCAUCUGUCCUAACACUGACGCUGAGGUACGAAAGCAUGGGGAGCAAACAGGAUUAGAUACCCCUGUAGUCCCUGUCUCUUAUAC
rnacentral:rRNA from 1 species